rnacentral:rRNA from 1 species
GAUGAACGCUGGCGGCGUGCCUAAUACAUGCAAGUCGAGCGAACGGACGAGAAGCUUGCUUCUCUGAUGUUAGCGGCGGACGGGUGAGUAACACGUGGAUAACCUACCUAUAAGACUGGGAUAAUUUCGGGAAACCGGAGCUAAUACCGGAUAAUAUUUUGAACCGCAUGGUUCAAUAGUGAAAGACGGUCUUGCUGUCACUUAUAGAUGGAUCCGCGCUGCAUUAGCUAGUUGGUAAGGUAACGGCUUACCAAGGCAACGAUGCGUAGCCGACCUGAGAGGGUGAUCGGCCACACUGGAACUGAGACACGGUCCAGACUCCUACGGGAGGCAGCAGUAGGGAAUCUUCCGCAAUGGGCGAAAGCCUGACGGAGCAACGCCGCGUGAGUGAUGAAGGUCUUCGGAUCGUAAAACUCUGUUAUUAGGGAAGAACAAAUGUGUAAGUAACUGUGCACAUCUUGACGGUACCUAAUCAGAAAGCCACGGCUAACUACGUG